CCUACGGGAGGCAGCAGUGGGGAAUUUUGGACAAUGGGCGCAAGCCUGAUCCAGCCAUGCCGCGUGCAGGAUGAAGGCCUUCGGGUUGUAAACUGCUUUUGUACGGAACGAAAAGGUCUUUUUUAAUAAAGAGGGCCCAUGACGGUACCGUAAGAAUAAGCACCGGCUAACUACGUGCCAGCAGCCGCGGUAAUACGUAGGGUGCAAGCGUUAAUCGGAAUUACUGGGCGUAAAGCGUGCGCAGGCGGUAAUGUAAGCAGAUGUGAAAUCCCCGGGCUCAACCUGGGAACUGCAUUUGUGACUGCAUUGCUGGAGUGCGGCAGAGGGGGAUGGAAUUCCGCGUGUAGCAGUGAAAUGCGUAGAUAUGCGGAGGAACACCGAUGGCGAAGGCAAUCCCCUGGGCCUGCACUGACGCUCAUGCACGAAAGCGUGGGGAGCAAACAGGAUUAGAUACCCUGGUAGUCCAGCCCUAAACGAUGUNACUGUUGUUGGUGUCUAUNUAUCAGUAAGAAGANACGCGUGAGUGACGCGNGGAGACGCGCGAGUAGAAGUACGAAGAAGUAGAGCGNGAGAGAGCGAGGAGACGACGAGGGAGGAGG
rnacentral:rRNA from 1 species